GACGAACGCUGGCGGCGUGCCUAAUACAUGCAAGUCGAGCGCAGGAAAUCGACGGAACCCUUCGGGGGGAAGUCGAUGGAAUGAGCGGCGGACGGGUGAGUAACACGUAAAGAACCUGCCCUCAGGUCUGGGAUAACCACGAGAAAUCGGGGCUAAUACCGGAUGGGUCAUCGGACCGCAUGGUCCGAGGAUGAAAGGCGCUUCGGCGUCGCCUGGGGAUGGCUUUGCGGUGCAUUAGCUAGUUGGUGGGGUAAUGGCCCACCAAGGCGACGAUGCAUAGCCGACCGGAGAGGGUGAUCGGCCACACUGGGACUGGGACACGGCCCAGACUCCUACGGGAGGCAGCAGUAGGGAAUCUUCCACAAUGGACGAAAGUCUGAUGGAGCAACGCCGCGUGAACGAUGAAGGCCUUCGGGUCGUAAAGUUCUGUUGUAAGGGAAGAACAAGUGCCGCAGGCAAUGGCGGCACCUUGACGGUACCUUGCGAGAAAGCCACGGCUAACUACGUGCCAGCCACCGCAGUAA
rnacentral:rRNA from 1 species